rnacentral:rRNA from 1 species
AUUGAACGCUGGCGGCAUGCCUUACACAUGCAAGUCGAACGGCAGCAUGGAGAGCUUGCUCUCUGAUGGCGAGUGGCGAACGGGUGAGUAAUGCAUCGGAACGUACCGUGUAAUGGGGGAUAACGUAGCGAAAGUUACGCUAAUACCGCAUACGACCUGAGGGUGAAAGCAGGGGAUCGCAAGACCUUGCGUUAUACGAGCGGCCGAUGUCGGAUUAGCUAGUUGGUGAGGUAAAGGCUAACCAAGGCGACGAUCUGUAGCGGGUCUGAGAGGAUGGUCCGCCACACUGGGACUGAGACACGGCCCAGACUCCUACGGGAGGCAGCAGUGGGGAAUUUUGGACAAUGGGGGCAACCCUGAUCCAGCCAUGCCGCGUGAGUGAAGAAGGCCUUCGGGUUGUAAAGCUCUUUCGGCCGGGAAGAAAUCGCACAGGCUAAUACUCUGUGUGGAUGACGGUACCGGCAUAAGAAGCACCGGCUAACUACGUGCCAGCCGCCGCCGUAA